GGAUCAUUUGCACAGCCAGGUAGUGCGACGGACUCUUAAUCCGUCGGUCGGGGGUUCGAAUCCCUCAUGGUCCG
rnacentral:tRNA from 1 species